UAUGUGAUCGUCUCUCGCAUAUCAAUAAGCGGAGGAAAAGAAACUAACAAGGAUUCCCCUAGUAACGGCGAGUGAAGCGGGAAGAGCUCAAAUUUGAAAUCUUAAAGGGUUUCCCUUUACGAAUUGUAGUUUAAAGAAGUGUUUUCUGUUGAGGUUUUGGUAAAAGUUCUUUGGAAUAGGACAUCAUAGAGGGUGAGAAUCCCGUAUUUGACCUUUACUUUCAACUUUGUGAUACACUUUCAAAGAGUCGGAUUGUUUGGGAAUGCAGUCCAAAAUGGGUGGUAAAUUUCAUCUAAAGCUAAAUAUUGGCGAGAGACCGAUAGCGAACAAGUACCGUGAGGGAAAGAUGAAAAGAACUUUGAAAAGAGAGUUAAACAGUACGUGAAAUUGACAAAAGGGAAGCGUUUGACACCAGUGUUGUUUUUCUGAAAAUCAAUUAAAGAACUGUUUAUGCUAAGCUGUUUAGACUUUAUCAGCUAUCUGUUUAGUUUUGAGCUUUUCUUUAAUGCACUUUUCAGUUAACAAGUCAACAUCAAUUUCUUUUGCUGUAAAAAAGCUUGAGGAAGGUGGCUUGAGAUUCGUCUUAAGUGUUUAUAGCCUCUUGCCUAUGCAGUCGGAGAGAUUGAGGUCUGCAGCGUAGAUCCUUCGGGGCUAAAUGCAUUUGUGCUAAGUUAUAGCAUUUUAUAGACAACUUGUUGACUAUGAUUUGUCUUGUAGGCUUACUCGCUUAUGUUAUUUUACCUACGCUUAGGAUGUUGAAGACUCUACAGAGAUA
rnacentral:rRNA from 1 species